rnacentral:rRNA from 1 species
UACGGGGGGGGCAAGCGUUGUUCGGAAUUACUGGGCGUAAAGGGCUCGUAGGCGGCCACCGCAAGUCGACUGUGAAAUCUCCGGGCUUAACCCGGAACGGUCAGCCGAUACUGCGGGGCUAGAGUGCAGAAGGGGCAACUGGAAUUCUCGGUGUAGCGGUGAAAUGCGUAGAUAUCGAGAGGAACACCUGCGGCGAAGGCGGGUUGCUGGGCUGACACUGACGCUGAUGCGCGAAAGCUAGGGGAGCGAACGGG